rnacentral:rRNA from 1 species
GACGAACGCUGGCGGCGUGCUUAACACAUGCAAGUCGAACGAUGAAGCUGGAGCUUGCUCUAGCGGAUUAGUGGCGAACGGGUGAGUAACACGUGAGCAAUCUGCCCUUGACUCUGGGAUAACUGCGGGAAACUGUAGCUAAUACCGGAUACUUUCACCGGGGGGCAUCUUCUGGUGAUGAAAGAAUUUCGGUCAAGGAUGAGCUCGCGGCCUAUCAGCUUGUUGGUGAGGUAACGGCUCACCAAGGCGACGACGGGUAACCGGCCUGAGAGGGUGACCGGUCACACUGGGACUGAGACACGGCCGAGACCCCUACGGGAGGCAGCAGUGGGGAAUAUUGCACAAUGGGCGCAAGCCUGAUGCAGCAACGCCGCGUGAGGGAUGAAGGCCUUCGGGUUGUAAACCUCUUUUAGCAGGGAAGAAGCGAAAGUGACGGUACCUGCAGAAAAAGCACCGGCUAACUACGUGCCAGCAGCCGCAGUAA